UGGGGAAUAUUGCACAAUGGGCGCAAGCCUGAUGCAGCAACGCCGCGUGAACGAUGAAGGUCUUCGGAUCGUAAAGUUCUGUUGCAGGGGAAGAUAAUGACGGUACCCUGUGAGGAAGCCACGGCUAACUACGUGCCAGCAGCCGCGGUAAUACGUAGGGGGCUAGCGUUAUCCGGAUUUACUGGGCGUAAAGGGUGCGUAGGUGGUCUUUCAAGUCGGUGGUUAAAGGCUACGGCUCAACCGUAGUUAGCCUCCGAAACUGGAAGACUUGAGUGCAGGAGAGGAAAGUGGAAUUCCCAGUGUAGCGGUGAAAUGCGUAGAUAUUGGGAGGAACACCAGUAGCGAAGGCGGCUUUCUGGACUGCAACUGACACUGAGGCACGAAAGCGUGGGUAGCAAACAGG
rnacentral:rRNA from 1 species